UGUUCUGUAGCUUAGUUGGUUAAAGCGCCGGAAUAGCGAUAACGGAGUCGUGGGUUCGAAUCCCACCAAAACAA
rnacentral:tRNA from 1 species